rnacentral:rRNA from 1 species
GAUGAACGCUGGCGGCGUGCCUAAUACAUGCAAGUCGAGCGAAUGGAUUAAGAGCUUGCUCUUAUGAAGUUAGCGGCGGACGGGUGAGUAACACGUGGGUAACCUGCCCAUAAGACUGGGAUAACUCCGGGAAACCGGGGCUAAUACCGGAUAACAUUUUGAACCGCAUGGUUCGAAAUUGAAAGGCGGCUUCGGCUGUCACUUAUGGAUGGACCCGCGUCGGAUUAGCUAGUUGGUGAGGUAACGGCUCACCAAGGCAACGAUGCGUAGCCGACCUGAGAGGGUGGUCGGCCACACUGGGAGUGGGACACGGCCCAGAGUCCUACGGGAGGCAGCAGUAGGGAAUCUUCCGCAAUGGACGAAAGUCUGACGGAGCAACGCCGCGUGAGUGAUGAAGGCUUUCGGGUCGUAAAACUCUGUUGUUAGGGAAGAACAAGUGCUAGUUGAAUAAGCUGGCACCUUGACGGUACCUAACCAGAAAGCCACGGCUAACUACGUGCCAGCCGCCGCAGUAA